rnacentral:rRNA from 1 species
GCCAGACUCCUACGGGAGGCAGCAGUGGGGAAUAUUGCACAAUGAGGGAAACCCUGAUGCAGCAACGCCGCGUGAGUGAAGAAGUAUUUCGGUAUGUAAAGCUCUAUCAGCAGGGAAGAGAAUGACGGUACCUGACUAAGAAGCCCCGGCUAACUACGUGCCAGCAGCCGCGGUAAUACGUGGGGGGCGAGCGUUAUCCGGAUUUACUGGGUGUAAAGGGAGCGUAGACGGUUCUGCAAGUCUGAAGUGAAAGCCCGUGGCUUAACCGCGGAACGGCUUUGGAAACUGUGGAACUGGAGUGCUGGAGAGGCAAGCGGAAUUCCUAGUGUAGCGGUGAAAUGCGUAGAUAUUAGGAGGAACACCAGUGGCGAAGGCGGCUUGCUGGACAGUAACUGACGUUGAGGCUCGAAAGCGUGGGGAGCGAACAGGAUUAGAUACCCGAGUA